AUUGAACGCUGGCGGCAGGCUUAACACAUGCAAGUCGAGCGGGGAAAUAUAGCUUGCUAUAUGACCUAGCGGCGGACGGGUGAGUAAUGCUUAGGAAUCUGCCUAUUAGUGGGGGACAACAUUUCGAAAGGGAUGCUAAUACCGCAUACGCCCUACGGGGGAAAGCAGGGGAUCAUUUGACCUUGCGCUAAUAGAUGAGCCUAAGUCGGAUUAGAUAGUUGGUGGGGUAAAGGCCUACCCAGGCGACGAUCUGUAGCGGGUCUGAGAGGAUGACCCGCCACACUGGGACUGAGACAGGGCCCAGACUCUUACGUGAGGCAGCUGUGGGGAAUUUUGGCCAAUGGGGGGAACCCUUAUCCAGCCAUGCCGCGUGUGUGAAGAAGGCCUUUUGGUUGUAAAGCCCCUUAAGCGAGGAGGAGGCUCCUGUAGAUAAUACCUACAGUUUGUGUACGUUACUCGCAGAAUAAGCACCGGCUAACUCUGUGCCAGCAGCCGCCGUAA
rnacentral:rRNA from 1 species